rnacentral:tRNA from 1 species
AGCCCCGUGGUCUAGCGGCCAAUCGUGACCGGCUUCCGACCUCGCGACGGCAGUUCGAAUCUGCCCGGGGCUA